UAAAAGAAAAAAUAUGCUAUUUAUUAUUUCUUCUAAGUUAAACUCAUUGGCCGUAGCUCAUUUUCUGUGAAGAACAUAAAAAUUAACUUAUUUUCAAUGACUGCACACGGUCCACCCUCUACACAUAACUAUUACAUAUGAGAUGUACGGGUCUACUGGACCCGGAUGUAUUUAAUUGUAGAUACUAUGAGACUUAAC